rnacentral:rRNA from 1 species
CCCCUAGACGUUCUGGGCUGCACGCGCGCUACAAUAAUACGCACAGCGAGUAUCACCGAGCUCGAAAGGGCAAGGUAAACAAUAGAAAAGGUACUGUAAUGGUUAUAGAUCCUUGUAAUUAUUGAUCUUCAACGAGGAAUUCCUAGUAAGUAUGUGUCAUCAUCACGCACUGAUUACGUCCCUGCCCUUUGUACACACCGCCCGUCGCUCCUACCGAUUGGGGGAGCCGAUGAAACUCUCGGAUGUAGGCUAUUCAUAGCCCGCAGAAGAGAUUUGAAUCGUAGCGCUUAGAGGAAGGAGAAGUCGUAACA